CCCUCGCCCGACAAAUCGCCAUCGAAGCUCACAAACGGAGACGUCUUUUUUUCCCAAAGGAAAAAAGGCGUCUCGGUCCUCUGGACCAACAGCGCUUUGGGAGAAAGUCCCCGGACACACGUUAUUCUUCCCCCUUCCGGGGGGGGGGAACAAAAACGCCGCGGAAACGCGCCGCCAUAGAAGCACAGCGGCUGACCUCCAAGACCUGCGUCAGGACAUAAUGGCCUCUCUUUUUCACGCCCCGCCCCGUCGCUACAUCGUUGGUGUUCUGCUCCUCUCGAGACCCGAAUCUGCCUUGUCCCGGGACCCUUAUGGAUGAAGAUAUGAGUCCGCGCCCGGGACCGGGGAGGCUUGGUGCGCUUGUGCGGGGCAGGUGCCUUCGAUGGCGAGGUGGCCGCGUGGGAGAAGUCGAUUGCCAGGCGAAUUCAAGGGUUCGUCGGAGGGUCUUUCGUCGAGAUCGACAGGUAUGCGAUUGCGCGCCCUCCCCUUCGCCGGGGAGGGCGAGUUACUCGAUGGGGCUUAUUCUUGGUGCGAGG
rnacentral:RNase_MRP_RNA from 3 species